UAAUAUAACAUGACUAAUAGGUGAAAAGGGUGAAGAAUCUAUUAUAUUAUAGAAGAUCUUACUUCAAAUAUUAUAACAAAUCAUCUUAGAAAAUAGACAAUAAUCCAAAAAAAAAAUAGAAUUAAAGAUUUAAAUACUAUCUUUUUGUAAAGUAAGAUUUUAUUUACUUUGUAAGUCCAUAAAUAAGGUAAAAAAAGGUAGAUUAAAAAAAUAAAGAAUAUGAGCAUAUAUAAGAAGAAAUUAAGAGUUAAUUGAAAUAA
rnacentral:lncRNA from 1 species